GACCUGAGAGGGUGAUCGGCCACACUGGAACUGAGACACGGUCCAGACUCCUACGGGAGGCACCAGUAGGGAAUCUUCCGCAAUGGGCGAAAGCCUGACGGAGCAACUCCGCGUGAGUGAUGAAGGUCUUCGGAUCGUAAAACUCUGUUAUCAGGGAAGAACAAAUGUGUAAGUAACUGUGCACAUCUUGACGGUACCUGAUCAGAAAGCCACGGCUAACUACGUGCCAGCAGCCGCGGUAAUACGUAGGUGGCAAGCGUUAUCCGGAAUUAUUGGGCGUAAAGCGCGCGUAGGCGGUUUUUUAAGUCUGAUGUGAAAGCCCACGGCUCAACCGUGGAGGGUCAUUGGAAACUG
rnacentral:rRNA from 2 species